rnacentral:lncRNA from 1 species
GGGACUGGAACCGGCACUUGGCACCCCUUACGCCUUACGGUGGCCGCUGCGCCCAGUCACAUCUGAGCGGAGAAUUUAAUAGGCAAGAAAGAAGGAAGAAGGCUGAAGGAAGAAGCUCCCCACUACAGAGACAGACGGAGGGGGCUCCCAAGACGAAAGAGGAGACCCCCAUUCUAGAUGUUCUUAACCCUUUGAGGGCAAAGCUCUCCGUUUAAUGCCUUGCACAUAUCAGGUUGCCAACAACAUGGUGUGGUUUAUCAAUUGUGAUAGGUUACUUAUUCGAGCCCCUGUUUACAAGAGUUUUAGAUUGCAUUUCUCUGGAAUGACCACAGCAAUAUUUCCAGCCCUUGAUGAUCUUCUAGAACUUUGCCACUUCCCUGCAUCAAGAGGUAAAAUCCAUUUCUAUUCUCUUGAAUUGAACAGCUUCAAUGAAUUGAGUGCUGAAGAAUUAACACUCUGUGACUUCAUGACUUGUUGGAAAUUGUGAGGAAUCUCAGGCCACAUGGAGGGGCCAGUGAAGAUGUUCCAGCUUAUAGCCCCAGCUAAGGUUUCAACUAAUAGCCAGACUCAACCACCAGGUAUAUGAAUGAACCUUCAGAUGAUUCUAGUCUCCAGCCUUCAAGCUUCCCCAGUCGAUGCUGAGUGGAGCAAAAAAAGGAAUUAUUCUCACUGAGCCCUGUCCAAAUUGCAAAUACCUGACAAAAAUAAAUAUUGUUGUUUUAAGCCACUAAA